CUUGCCUUUAAUAAGUACGAGCAAAUUUUAACUGUUCUUGGUCAAUUGAUAGUUCAGUCAGCAUCGGCUGGUUCCUGAACAAACAGCAGAGGUGGCCUUCUGUUGAAGCAGCACUGUAAAAUUAAUCAAACAUUGUGGUGCUGUAUACCUUCUGGAAGCUAUCACCUUCAGGCCAUACAAUAUUUAAUAUGAAAACAUUGCAAUUCCCUUCCAGUAGAAUGAACGGAUCAAAGCCAUAAACUGUCAGCAUACUGGGAAGCCCUUCAGAAAUCAUGAGGUUCUGGUGUCUAUCUCACUGCUCAGCCAAUUACCUUGUAGAAGAUUUCCGAAAGAACUCCAGAAGAGAAUUAGGAAAAUCAGGACAGGUCAUGAAAAGUCCUUGAUAAGUUGGAUUAAAGACAAUCUUGAAGAGCAAGAGAAUAACUAGGGAGCAGAGGCUUUUGGCGGGGAGUCGGAGGAGAGACCGUGAGGACGACGGAUGUGCGGGGAAAGCUCAGGUUGAUCACUCCGGGUGGUUCUGAGCUACGAGUCACCGGGGUCAGAGUGGUCCCGAAGAGGUCCCCGAGCUCCAACGUGUGCACGAAGAACUUGAACUUUGAUAAGAUUCCAGACCUGAAGCAUUAGUUGUUCCUUUUCCUACAGAUGCUACUUCACCUGAUGUUGCCUGAUCUGCUGAGUUCCGCCAGCAUUUUAUGUGUUACUCCGGAUUUUGAGCAUCUGCAGAAGCUCUUGCAUUUAUGAAGCAAUUAGGGAUGCCUCGAUACUAGAAGGUUAUGUUGGAACUGAACACAAUGGAAUGUAGUCUUCCACUAAUGAACACAGAGACAUGAGAGAGUGCAGGAGUCUGGAGCAACGGACAAUCUGCUGGAGGGAUUCAGAGGAUCAAGCAGCAUUUGUGCAGGGAAGGAACCAUACUUCAGUUCUGGAUGUCAGUUGCAAACAGCAAUCAGCCUUAGGUUAAAAAGGCAAGCUGUACUGUCUACAGAGCACAGGCCUACAGCAGGAGUCUGGCAAAGUAAUGUGACCAUGUAUGCAUCAGCCAAAUAUAAGAGCAUAUAAGUCAUCUUCUAUUGUGAAACAGAAUUAUUGAGGCUACAAAUCGAGUUACGUCGAUCCCCUGAGAGAAGAGGAAAUUUGUUUUCAACAUCUGCAGAAACUACACAUCCAUCCCAGAACUAAUAGUAAUGUCGGACUUCCAGACAUGGAAAGCACUGCCUGCCUCAACACAGUCACUUCCCUUUACAAGCAAAUUUAGGAUGUUAACCUCCUUCUCAGUCUUCCUGAUCCUCCAGAUCAGUCUGCUCCCUUAAGAUUUUUAAGAGUGUUCAGCUUCAGAACAGCCCUUGGACGGAGGAUGCAAACAUCCUGAGUCACACUGGUAGAACAAAUUGUUUCUCUGGGUCAAGGCAAAUUUUUCAGUACAGUGAAGGUUUUUUUUUUGUUUGUAGAGGGAAUGUAAUUGGUGCUUGGAAUGGACUUGCAUAUUUGUAGAGUCAUACAGCACAGAAACAGGGGCUUUGGCUCAACUCUCCAAUGCUGACCAUGAUGCCCAUCUAAGUUAGUCGUCUCUGCCAUUUUUUGACUCAUAUCUUUCAAAAUCUUUCUUACCAAUCUUCUCUCUCUUUGUAUGUUUUGCAGAGGUUUCACUCAUUAAUGUUUAGCUGCAGCAGUUGUAUGCAAGCUGUUCGAUAAAACUAGCACAGACACACCAAAUAUUCUGCAGGUGGUCCCACCAGAACAUAAAGGAUUAAUGGCACUAAAUUUUUACUUUGUUUCUCUUGCCAUCUUUGCUGCCAGAUCUAAUGUGAUUUUCCCACAUUUUGUGUUGUUACUUCAGAUCACAGCAUCUGCAAUUUUUUUGCUUUUGAUUCAGCGUAACUUUCUUACUCAAUAUUUAAUAUCCUUAUUGAGAGUGGUUAGCAAACACGUGGAAUCUUGGGCUCUAUAAAUAUGUCCUGCCCAUGAUAUUUGAUAUGUCCAUGAACAUCUCACACCUCACUAAGUUUCUGUUUCGUAAACACCCCACUUAGAACUAUGACAUAAGUUUACAUUGCUUCCCCCAUUCUUUCUAUGAAAAGACAUCACCUCUGUAUUAAACACCACUUGCUCCCUGACUUCUUGUCAUCUGUGUCUUGUUGCAAUUGAUUUGUAUCACCUGUUUUUUUUAACCACAUUUCCAAAUUUGAGAUAACGUCAGAAUAGAAAUAUUUUACAACACAGACACAGGCCAUUUGACCCACAAUGUUCAUGAUAACCCUUACUUGUAUCCGCCUUAUUUCUUCUUCACCCUGUUGUAUCUGUCCCUUCAGAUCCAUUGUCAGUCACCCCACCCUCCAUGUUUCUACCUGUGGCCAAUCAUAUUUAUGCAUUCCUAGCUUCAUUGUCCCUUCACUGUGGCCAACACUGUCCCUGGUUCAUUCUACGUGGUCCCCUAGACCUUCACACUUCCAUAUCUGCUUGAAUGACACCCUGACAUCUCCUUUUCACACCCACCUCACAAAAGCAUACAGGUGUAUUCCUAUCAAGCUCUCCUGAGCUCCACCUUGCCUCUCCUUUUCAGCUUGACUUCACCUGCAGUCUCUUCUAUUCUCCAUUCAUCUGAACCCAGCAGAGUCCGCACCCAGUUUAUUCGAUUCAGCCUGGGUCAUUAUACCACCUUUAUAGUCUACUUAAUUGCCAGCUACAGUACCUAUCCAAAUGCCUAAGGUACAUACAGUAUAUACAGCUAGUGUAACUAAGACUUUUGCACAAUACUGUAUUUGUCAACGUGGAGCGGUGAGUGAAUUUGUAAAUCUGGGGGGAGCAAAGGAUGUUGGGAAUGGAGAGGGUGAGUAACACAGGAGGGGUGUGGGACAGGUGAUGGAGAAAGAGUUCCAGGAGCUGGGGUUGGCAAGGGCGCAGACAUACACAGCCCUGAGGCACCAGGCAAGGUCAUUUGAUUCCAAUCAAUUGGUUUAUUGAUCAUUACAGGAUGUCUCUCUGGUGUUUCCUGCUCCCUCCACUCUCCCUUCUCCUUUUCCCAACCAUGAUUCCCCUCCCCCUGCACCUUCCCACUCUCAGUCCACAAUAGAGACCCAUAUCAGAUAUAGGUUUAUCAUAACUCACAUACCGUACAUCAUGAAAUCUGUUUUUGUUUUUGUGGCAGCAGAACAGUUCAAUACAUACUAUUGCUACAGUACUGUGCAAAAUUCUUAGGCACCCUAGUGUUUAUAUGUAGACAUAGAAACACAGAAAACCUACAUCACAAUACAGGCUCUUCGACCCACAAUGCGAUGCCAAACAUGUCCUAACCUUAAAAAUUACCUUGGGUUACCCAUAGCCCUAUAUUUUUCUAAGCUCCACAUACCUAUCCAGGAGCCUCUUAAAAGACCCUAUUGUACCUGCCUCCACUAUCAUCCAGCAACCCAUGCCUCGCACUCAUCACUCUCUGUGUAAAAAAACUUACCCCUAACAUCUCCUCUGUACCUGCUUCCGAGCACCUUAAAACUGUGCCCUCUCCUGGUAGCCAUUUCAGCCCUGGUAAAAAGCCUCUGACUAUUGUUACAUGCUCAAGGAGAUCUGUUUUUUUUUGUGAGAAUGCUGUAAUGGUCUUUUGGAGGUCACCUAAUGUGAUUUUCCCGCUGUUGUGAGGUCACGUGAUGACAUGUGCCCCCCGUGACUAUAUAAGGGUCAACUCAGGUGACGCAGUAGAGAUUUUGAGUUUGUAGAUUUCCAGGUAGAACGUGUUGUAUUUCUGUUUCUGUUGCAUUUGUUUUUGUGACGCAGUUUCAUUUUUAAAACGGUUGUACAUUCUGUUGAAAAAUUCCAUAUUACUUGGACUGGGAAUUUGUGGCUGGAAGUGCCAAUUUACUCAAUUCCGACAGUUUUGAAGGGAGAGUGAAGAAUUCAUCGAAGUGAAGGAUCGAGAGAAGUCGGUAUAGGUUGGCAGUUUAAUAAAGGAUCGACCUUAUUGAGUCUUCGUUGAAGAGAAGCUGCAUUGAGGUAACUCUUGUAAGAGCGCAAUGAGUUCAUGCAAAAAGGCUCUCUCUCUAAAAAGAAUUCAAGGUCAGUCGAUUUAAACUGUUUAUUUUCGGCAUCAGGAAUCCUGUGGACAGAACCGACAGUAAAGGUGCGUCGGUGAAGAAAUCGCUCUCCAGAGAAGUCUCUCCCGAUUGAAUGUGUAAACUGUUGGACUUUCGAAGUUAUCGCUUUAAGAACUAUAUCUGACUGUAUUGCUUUAAGAACUGCUUUCAGCAUUUAACGCUUUAAGAACCAGAGCCGAGUGGAGUUGAUGAACGGCUGUGUACCUGUUUAACCUCCGGUUAAAGUUUUCCUUUGUUUUUUUUUCCCCUAUCGCUUAUACGUGUUUAAUAAA